UGUACGCAUUUGAAUUCGACCCGCUGUCCUCCCGUCGUCUUAUCCAUUUCUCUUGCGACAGCGACGGCGGCUUCGCCCAUUCUGUCGUGCGCAGGCGACGGCCGCCGCCAUGCCUCGCGCGGGAGGACGGAGGGCGCUCGCCGGGAGGAUGGAAGACGGCGCGGCGAGGCGGGGCAGUGGUGGUGGCGUGUGCGGCGUAGACGGCGCGGCCAGGCCGGGCAGUGGCGGUGGUUGUCUGACCGUCGUGCCUCGCGCGGGAGGAUGGACGACGCUCGCUGGGGCGUGUGCGGCGGAGACGGCUUCUGCCGCGCAUCGAGGUGGAGCAGCAGAGGACGGGAAGGCAAGGAGGCAGGGUGGGUAUGCUGUGCACCAGCGCCGCCUUCGUCCUCCACCUCCUCCAAAAGCGCGCGCUCGCCGCGGGCGCUGGCGGUGGCGCGGCGGUCCUCGCCCUUGCGCACCCGUACUCGCACGACGACCGCGCCCUCCGCAAGAUGGUAAGUGCCCCGGCCGCUCACCCGUAUUUCCUCGUCAGCAGGGCCAUCCUCGCGGACCACACGGCAGCGGUGACGCUCUUCGGGCACCCCCGCGGCCGGCCGAGCCUGGCCAUCUAUGAGGACACGCGGGCGCCACCGGCGUUCCUCAUCGAGCUGCCCAUGCUCGCGGCCGGGCUACACAGGGGGAUGGCCACGGGACCUUGAAGAUGGCGCUGGAGAGCGACACGCGCAGCGCGCGGCGACCACUCCUGUCCAACGACGAGCGGCACGUGCUGCGGUUGCUGCGCGACGUCUCCAUGGGCGCCGGGGUGCGGCGCCGCCGCCUGCUGACGGCUCCAAUUUCCCCGACGGCGUCCUACUCCCGUGUCUGAUUAGGAUUGAAGAGUCUUGAACAUGUCCUUGUCCAACACAGAUCAAUGUAAUGCCUGGCCCGGAUUUGACUUGACUGCUAUAAGAUGGAAGCGUCCUGGGCCUGAAUCUCCAUCAGGUUCCGUCCUUGGACCAUAGUCUCCAUCAAAUUCUGUUGAAAAUUUCACGAAGCGUCAAAUGUCGCCGCCGAGUGGUCCAAUGUCAUCUGCAGCGGCUACAGGAGAGAUUUCGUGUUGAUGAGAGAGGAACAAAAUGUCGGUUGUUCAGUACUUCAUGCAAAGAUACAACUACAAUCUGCAGUACUACUUGGCGCCUGCAGUCUAGAAGUGAUGCACGACCUGCAUAUUUGCCUACGGAGGCACUGUAUCCAUGCUCGCUGUUUACUAAAAAUUAGACAUCGGAUGCUCAUAUUUUAAUUAGACAUCGGAUGUUCAGUGUAUUCUACAAAUUGACUGUAGGCGUGCAACAUUGUUGAAGGGCAAAGGUACUCUAAGCUGAAUGAUAAACAGGUCACCAACAUACUUAGAGCUUCCUUGGGUUUGUGCAAGACAUGUCCGGUUUCACUAAGUCAGUUUCACUUUCACGAAGACAGUGGAAAUGCAGAAAAAAGAAAGCACGUGGAUUUAGAAAUUUCAGCAUUGUAGAGCUCAAUUGAAAUGGAAAACGAGAUUUAUAGCAUCCAGCCAGGGUGGUGAUUCGAUUUUUGAUGAUUGGUACUUUGGUUGUGAGGUCGAUGAAGACAUGAGAUGGAUUUGGGCAGGGCAGUGGGUUUGCUCGCGAGGAGGUGGGAAGGACGAAGAUAGUGGAAGAACCUUGAGAUGAUGGUGCUAUUAUUGACUCAAUCCUUUAUUAGCUCUAUUUGUGUGGAUCUUCCAGGUGCAUGAAUGAUGUUGUCGGUCGGGUGUCCUCUACUACUGAAGUUUUACCACCAUCUGGUGGCGCUUGAGAGCAGGGAUGGCAUACUUUCAUCAGCAGCGGCCAAACCCCCAGCGCCGCUGGUGCUGUACACCCCUGUACCCCUCGACAUCCAGUGCCUCGCGUCUGCCCAGCAUGAACACCUCCUCAAUAUGUACAUCUCUGAAUUUUGCCAUUGCUAGAGAAAGUAGAGCAUUGUUUUGCUGUAGCUAUAAUUUGAGUUUAGAAGAUAUACUUCUCUCUUUUUGACGUCAAUUUUUUCAGUUGUCGUCUACGUCCAGUCUCAUGUCUUUCUCUUUAGCAGGGAUCAAUGAGUACUAAACGAGCAAAAAUGUCCUUCUCUUUUUCAUAUUUCUUCCUUUUCCUUACUACUUUUGUGGCUCCAAAUCUCAUGAUGGCUCUAUGUCUGUUCUUUUUGUUGACAUGGAUUUUACCCUGAAAAUUUUCUUCUGAUCUACAAUGUUCUGCCAUCUAAAUUUGUCUGUAUAUUGUGAAUGAGUAGACAUUUGUGCAAAAGCUCAAUGGGAUGAAAUUACGGACUACAGAGAGGUGUAAUUAUUAAUUAAUUUCUUGCUUUAAAAGAUAUGCAACUAGCAGAGUUUCUUAUUAUUAUCAAUUGGAUUGUGACCGAAGUGAAGAACUUAUGUGGACAGUCUGGCAGAUUUCAGUGGCAAGAUUUUUGUACAAUUACAGUGGCAGAUUUCAGAAAUUUGUUGAGCACACGAUUUACAAGAACAAGAUAUUCUGUCAAGCCAUGGAUAUCAACAAUCAGCCAAGCAAAGAAAUAUUCAUGGGAGAUAUACAGGGAUCCACAAGAAUGUGCACCGUAUGGCACUACCCUUUUGUCAUCGAGCCACUAUCACAUUUUGGUCAGCAAUCAAUUCAAUCAAUUCUCAGUGCAAUUAGUCAGAAGUUGGAAUUUACAUCUAAACGAACAGUACAUACAUCAAGCAACAGAAGAAAGAGUGGUCAUCUCUUUUUCUUGGCACCAAGAUGCCAUAUAAGCAUUCAGACUUCGGAAUCGCACAAGCAGUUUGUAUAUAAAUGAUGUGCCAUAUCGUUUUAACAUGGACACUUCAAAAGAACAUCUGCCAAGAGUGGUCGCUGAUCACUAUGAUUAUAGUAGUCCUAAAGAGUUUGCCUCUG